CAAUAGCGUAUAUUUAAGUUGCUGCAGUUAAAAAGCUCGUAGUUGGAUUUCGGGUGGGAAUGGCCGGUCCGCCGUUUCGGUGUGCACUUGCUACGCCCACCUUGCUGCCGGGGACGUGCUCUUGAGUUCACGCUCGGGACACGGAGUCGGCGAGGUUACUUUGAGUAAAUUAGAGUGUUCAAAGCAGGCCUACGCUCUGAAUACAUCAGCAUGGAAUAACACGAUAGGACUCUGGCCUAUCUUGUUGGUCUGUAGGACCGGAGUAAUGAUUAAGAGGGACAGUCGGGGGCAUUCGUAUUUCAUUGUCAGAGGUGAAAUUCUUGGAUUUAUGAAAGACGAACUACUGCGAAAGCAUUUGCCAAGGAUGUUUUCAUUAA
rnacentral:rRNA from 1 species